CAUAAAGUACAACCGCACGAGGUACCGUUUAAGUAGCAUAAGCUCACGGUUCAAGGCGAGUCUUACAGCCGUU
rfam:Lactococcus garvieae Lg2 DNA, complete genome.